rnacentral:rRNA from 1 species
CCUAUGGGGGGCAGCAGUGGGGAAUAUUGGACAAUGGGGGGAACCCUGAUCCAGCCAUGCCGCGUGUGUGAAGAAGGCCCUCGGGUUGUAAAGAACUUUCAGUGAGGAAGAACGCCUGGUGGUUAAUACCCAUCAGGAAAGACAUCACUCACAGAAGAAGCACCGGCUAACUCCGUGCCAGCAGCCGCGGUAAUACGGAGGGUGUGAGCGUUAAUCGGAAUUACUGGGCGUAAAGCGCGCGUAGGUGGCUUGAUAAGCCGGUUGUGAAAGCCCCGGGCUCAACCUGGGAACGGCAUCCGGAACUGUCAAGCUAGAGUGCAGGAGAGGAAGGUAGAAUUCCCGGUGUAGCGGUGAAAUGCGUAGAGAUCGGGAGGAAUACCAGUGGCGAAGGCGGCCUUCUGGACUGACACUGACACUGAGGUGCGAAAGCGUGGGUAGCAAACAGGAUUAGAUACCCUGGUAGUC